CCUACGGGGGGCAGCAGUGGGGAAUAUUGGGCAAUGGGCGCAAGCCUGACCCAGCAACGCCGCGUGAAGGAAGAAGGCUUUCGGGUUGUAAACUUCUUUUGUCAGGGACGAAGCAAGUGACGGUACCUGUCGAAUAAGCCACGGCUAACUACGUGCCAGCAGCCGCGGUAAUACGUAGGUGGCAAGCGUUAUCCGGAUUUACUGGGUGUAAAGGGCGUGUAGGCGGGGAGGCAAGUCAGAUGUGAAAACCACGGGCUCAACCUGUGGCCUGCAUUUGAAACUGUUUUUCUUGAGUGCUGGAGAGGCAAUCGGAAUUCCGUGUGUAGCGGUGAAAUGCGUAGAUAUACGGAGGAACACCAGUGGCGAAGGCGGAUUGCUGGACAGUAACUGACGCUGAGGCGCGAAAGCGUGGGGAGCAAACAGGAUUAGAUACCCGGGUAGUC
rnacentral:rRNA from 1 species